rnacentral:rRNA from 1 species
GACGUAGGAUGCAAGCGUUGUUCGGAUUUAUUGGGCGUAAAGCGUGCGUAGGUGGCUAGAUAAGUCUGGUGUUAAAGCUAGGGGCUCAACCCCUGUGUUGCACUGGAAACUGUCUGGCUUGAGGAUGGUAGGGGAAGGUGGAAUUCCGAGUGUAGCGGUGAAAUGCGUAGAUAUUCGGAGGAACACCGGUGGCGAAAGCGACCUUCUGGGCCAUUUCUGACACUGAGGCUCGAAAGCUUGGGGAGCAAACGGG